CCUACGGGUGGCAGCAGUCGAGAAUCAUUCACAAUGGGGGAAACCCUGAUGGUGCGACGCCGCGUGGGGGAAUGAAGGUCUUCGGAUUGUAAACCCCUGUCAUGUGGGAGCAAAUUAAAAAGAUAGUACCACAAGAGGAAGAGACGGCUAACUCUGUGCCAGCAGCCGCGGGAAUACAGAGGUCUCAAGCGUUGUGCGGAAUCACUGGGCGUAAAGCGUGCGUAGGCUGUUUCGUAAGUCGUGUGUGAAAGGCGCGGGCUCAACCCGCGGACGGCACAUGAUACUGCGAGACUAGAGUAAUGGAGGGGGAACCGGAAGUCUCGGUGUAGCAGUGAAAUGCGUAGAUAUCGAGAGGAACACUCGUGGCGAAGGCGGGUUCCUGGACAUUAACUGACGCUGAGGCACGAAGGCCAGGGGAGCGAAAGGGAUUAGAUACCCUUGUAGUC
rnacentral:rRNA from 1 species